rnacentral:rRNA from 1 species
CAGUCGCCGCGGUAAUACGAAGAGGGCUAGCGUUGUUCGGAAUUACUGGGCGUAAAGCGCACGUAGGCGGAUAUUUAAGUCAGGGGUGAAAUCCCGCAGCUCAACUGCGGAACUGCCUUUGAUACUGGGUAUCUUGAGUAUGGAAGAGGUUAGUGGAAUUGCGAGUGUAGAGGUGAAAUUCGUAGAUAUUCGCAGGAACACCAGUGGCGAAGGCGGCUAACUGGUCCAUAACUGACGCUGAGGUGCGAGAGCGUGGGGAGCAAACAGGAUUAGAUACCCCCGUAGUCCCUGUCUCUUAUAC